rnacentral:misc_RNA from 1 species
AACGCACCUUGCACCCUUUGGUAUUCCGAAGGGUAUGCUCGUUUGAGUGUCAUUGUACUCUCACACUCUCUGAUCCUUUGGAUUGGGAGUGGUGGACUUGGGUGUUGCUGUUACUGCGCGGCUCACCUCAAAUGCAUUAGUGCAACUCCUGGUUGGACAUAGUACGGCGUGAUAAGUGUCUUCGCCGGCGCCUCGAAAGAGGGUGGCUGAUUGGGAGCUCUGUGCUUCUUAACUGUCUUUGGACAAUAUCUGACAACUUGACCUCAAAUCGAGUAGGACUACCCGCUGAACUUAA